rnacentral:rRNA from 1 species
GAUGAACGCUGGCGGCGUGCCUAAUACAUGCAAGUCGAGCGAACAGAUGAGGAGCUUGCUCCUCUGACGUUAGCGGCGGACGGGUGAGUAACACGUGGAUAACCUACCUAUAAGACUGGGAUAACUUCGGGAAACCGGAGCUAAUACCGGAUAAUAUAUUGAACCGCAUGGUUCAAUAGUGAAAGACGGUUUUGCUGUCACUUAUAGAUGGAUCCGCGCCGCAUUAGCUAGUUGGUAAGGUAACGGCUUACCAAGGCUACGAGGCGUAGCCGACCUGAGAGGGGGAUCGCCGACACUGGAACUGAGACAGGGACCAGACUCCUGCGGGAGGCAGCAGUAGGGAAUCUGCCGCAAUGGGCGAGAGCCUGACGGAGCAACGCCGCGUGAGUGAUGAAGGUGUUCGGAUCGUAAAACUCUGUUAUUAGGGAAGAACAAAUGUGUAAGUAACUAUGCACGUCUUGACGGUACCUAAUCAGAAAGCCACGGCUAACUACGUG